rnacentral:rRNA from 1 species
UACGUAGGGGGCAAGCGUUGUCCGGAUUUAUUGGGCGUAAAGAGCGUGUAGGCGGUCAGGUAGGUCCGUUGUGAAAACUCGAGGCUCAACCUCGAGACGCCGAUGGAAACCAUCAGACUAGAGUCCGGAAGAGGAGAGUGGAAUUCCUGGUGUAGCGGUGAAAUGCGCAGAUAUCUGGAGGAACACCGGUGGCGAAGGCGGCGUUCUGGACUGCAACUGACACUGAGGAACGAAAGCCAGGGGAGCAAACGGG